UACAGAGGGGGCAAGCGUUGUUCGGAAUUACUGGGCGUAAAGGGCGCGUAGGCGGCCUUCUAAGUCGAACGUGAAAUCCCCGAGCUCAACUCGGGAACUGCGUCCGAUACUGGCGGGCUUGAAUCCGGGAGAGGGAUGCGGAAUUCCUGGUGUAGCGGUGGAAUGCGCAGAUAUCAGGAGGAACACCGAUGGCGAAGGCAGCUCGCUGGGACGGUACUGACGCUGAGGCGCGAAAGCGUGGGGGAGCGAACAGG
rnacentral:rRNA from 1 species